rnacentral:lncRNA from 1 species
AUUCAGUCAUUUUUCUGGUGCUUAUUCAGUAGAAAAAGACACCCAGACGAGAGAAUAAACUACCGAAAAGCCAAACACCAUGACAUGGACACCAGGCGGAUUCUCGCAGUAGAAGCACCGCUGGUUCAAAUCGACUCAACUCCGCUCGGACUCCGACUUCAGCUCGAACUCCUCCAACUUCCUCCCCCAAAGACCCCGUUGUGCCCGGACUAACCUGCCAAAAACCCCGCCUCCUACAUCUCAAGUGUGUGGAGGAGAUCCAACCAUCGCAUUUUGUAACUCAUGUGCGACAUUAAGUGCUUUGGUUUUUUGACGACGUCGGCGGUGGAGAGUUGAAAAACAAAAGGAAAAACUGACCCGUAAGUCAUCAU